GGAGGCCCCUCUACUUUACCUGUUUUGUUCGAGAGGCCCUUGACGUAAAGUUUGUCACGUCUGGAUCCUUGUACUUGUCAAUAUUUCAAUUUUAAAGCCCUUAUGUGGAUGGAAAAUGGAGAGUGUAACUCACUCUCCGUUAGUUAACAGAAAAAGGUGAUGUGGAAUUUUUUCCAUAUAUUCAGAUUCACGUGGCAUUAUUUUUUUGUACUUAUAACAACUAAAAUCACAACUUAAUAAAAAUAUGUAAAACAAAACAAAUUUUAUGGCAAAAUUGUUAUUUUGCCAUCAUCUUCUUCCUUGAAAAUGCUGAACUUCAAACCACAAAUAAAAAAACCGAUGUAAGUGAUAUUGAUGAUCCAUAAUUUAUUCAAAACCUUGAACAAAGAUCUAAAUUUCAAUCUAAUUCCACAACUCGAACUCGAUGAACAAAUCCCAGUUAUAGAUCUUUCAGCGUCACACCCUAUCAAUAUUCAAAAACUAGUUUCAGAGAUCGGAGACGCUUGUGUCGGAGGUCCGUCGCGAAAUGAAUAAAAGCUGCGAAAGCGUUGUUUGAUUUGCCAUUAGAGGAGAAAAGAAAGGUGAAGAGAAAUGAGGUUGAUCCUAUGGGUUAUUGAUGUUGACUUCCAGAAUCUGAUAGUUCCGGCGAGAACCGUCUCAUAAAAAUGUCUGUUUGAUUCAUCAGAUCCAAUGAUUUUGCAGUUUUGCCGUGAGUGUCUUUGAAGCUGGAUCCAAAGAACAAGCUGCUGCUUCAAAAUGGUGAGCUCUAGAAAUGGCCAAAACAAAAAGGGUUAGUUGUAAUAUCUUGGUGGCCUCCAUUACAGCAUCAAGUUCUACAGUGGGAUGAAAAUUAAGAUGGAGCUCGCACUAUUGGAAGAAGUUAUGAUAUUGGCAAUGAUUUUUGUCAUAUUUUCAGCAAUUGCAGCUCAAAAAUUUGGCAAUUGUUUCGGUGUCAAUUCACGACGGAUCAUUUGGCAACGCCUAAUUUUAUUUUUUUGAGAAUCCUGAGAGUAAUUAUUAUAAACUGAGUACUUUGUAUAAAUUUUAGCUCUUCCAAUUCAAAUAGCUAGAAAUUUAUGUCUUUAUUUGUGUGUUGAUUACCAGAGUUUAAUUAUCUGCUCUGUUUGUUGGUGAAGAAGAUGAAGUCAAGAGAAGGAAAAAUAUACCUAAUGUGCUUAAAUUUUAUGUGUAUUUAUGUGGAUUAAAAGUGAAAUGGUCACAGUUUUUUUUCUUUU